AAGAAUAGGAUAAGCGAAGCCAUGGCGUCUGACAUUGACAUGAAUCCUUGCAAAGAAUCUCAUAAAAAAGAAGAGAAGAAAAAAGAGGAGGUAUUCAAAAAGAAUGAAAUGAAUACAACUAAUCCAGUUGAGUUUAGAUCAUGCCAUAUUCUGGAUCCUCCGGAGUCUUCUGCAUCGGGUCAAAUUCCAAUAGCUAGGAAUCCAUCCAAAGAACA